rnacentral:rRNA from 1 species
CCUACGGGCGGCAGCAGUGAGGAAUAUUGGUCAAUGGGCGCGAGGCUGAACCAGCCAAGUAGCGUGAAGGCUGACUGCCCUACGGGUUGUAAACUUCUUUUAUAAAGGAAUAAAGUGAGGCACGUGUGCUUUUUUGUAAGUACUUGAUGAAUAAGCAUCGGCUAACUCCGUGCCAGCAGCCGCGGUAAUACGGAGGAUCCGAGCGUUAUCCGGAUUUAUUGGGUUUAAAGGGAGCGUAGAUGGGUUGUUAAGUCAGUUGUGAAAGUUUGCGGCUCAACCGUAAAAUUGCAAUUGAUACUGGCAGUCGUGAGUACAGUUGAGGUAGGCGGAAUUCGUGGUGUAGCGGUGAAAUGCUUAGAUAUCACGAAGAACUCCGAUUGCGAAGGCAGCUUACUAAACUGCCACUGACAUUGAUGCUCGAAAGUGUGGGUAUCAAACAGGAUUAGAUACCCCGGUAGUC